AGAGUUUGAUCCUGGCUCAGAACGAACGCUGGCGGCGUGUUUAAGACAUGCAAGUCGCACGGAGUCAUUUGUGUAGCAAUACUUGAAUGGCUUAGUGGCGCACGGGUGAGUAACAUGUGAAUUACAUGCCCUAUAGUGGGGAAUAGCCCAGGGAAACUUGGAUUAAUACCCCAUAGUCUCGCAAGAGUAAAGGUGGCCGCAAGGCUGUCGCUAUAGGAUUGGUUCGCACCCUAUCAGCUUGUUGGUGAGGUAACGGCUCACCAAGGCUACGACGGGUACCUGGUCUGAGAGGACGAUCAGGCACACUGGAACUGAGACACGGUCCAGACACCUACGGGUGGCAGCAGUCGAGAAUAAUUCACAAUGGGGGCAACCCUGAUGGUGCAACGCCGCGUGGAGGAUGAAGGUCUUCGGAUUGUAAACUCCUGUCAUCUGGGAGUAAGACCUGGUCGUUAAUAGCGGACAGGGUUGAUAGUACCAGAAGAGGAAGGGACGGCUAACUUCGUGCCAGCAGCCGCGGUAAUACGAAGGUCCCGAGCGUUGUUCGGAAUCACUGGGCGUAAAGGGAGCGUAGGCGGCGUGGUAAGUCAGAUGUGAAAUCCCGGGGCUCAACCCCGGAACUGCAUCCGAUACUGCCGUGCUAGAGGAUUGGAGAGGUAGCUGGAAUUCUUGGUGUAGCAGUGAAAUGCGUGGAUAUCAAGAGGAACACUCGUGGCGAAAGCGAGCUACUGGACAACUCCUGACGCUGAGGCUCGAAAGGCCAGGGUAGCGAAAGGGAUUAGAUACCCCUGUAGUCCUGG
rnacentral:rRNA from 1 species